AACGAACGCUGGCGGCAUGCCUAACACAUGCAAGUCGAACGAGACCUUCGGGUCUAGUGGCGCACGGGUGCGUAACGCGUGGGAACCUGCCCUUAGGUUCGGAAUAACUCCCCGAAAGGGGUGCUAAUACCGGAUAAUGUCUUCGGACCAAAGAUUUAUCGCCUUUGGAUGGGCCCGCGUUGGAUUAGCUAGUUGGUAGGGUAAAAGCCUACCAAGGCGACGAUCCAUAGCUGGUCUGAGAGGAUGAUCAGCCACACUGGGACUGAGACACGGCCCAGACUCCUACGGGAGGCAGCAGUGGGGAAUAUUGGACAGUGGGCGAAAGCCUGAUCCAGCAAUGCCGCGUGAGUGAUGAAGGCCUUAGGGUUGUAAAGCUCUUUUACCCGGGAUGUUAAUGACAGUACCGGGAGAAUAAGCUCCGGCUAACUCCGUG
rnacentral:rRNA from 1 species